rnacentral:rRNA from 1 species
AUGUGGGAACUUGUACUACUAUGUUGCGGUCACCAUCAGUUUCCUAUAGCUCUUGGCUACUUGUCAUUUUCCUUGUUGAUUGGCGAGUUUACACAGAAUUCCGUUGUCAGUCUUGUUAUUAUCGAUGUGAACAAUGUGUCUGAGCGUGUGAGAUGGACGGCUGGAAAAGUAUUUUGGUACAAUUUUGGCAUUUUUAAAUCCUGCGCUGCUCUUGCAAACAAAUGGAGUCUGAACUUGAUCAUUGCUUGUCGAAACCUCAUUUGCUGCCUAGAUGAAGCCCUUUCUACAGAUCCAGGGAUGUGA